GUUUAUGAGGAGAUUGAUGGAUCUGAGGCAAGCACAACUGAUGCAAAGCCCACAUCUAUCUUGGUUGAAGGAUGUGGUCCGCCGACAGGGUGGGAGGAGGAAUUACACGCACGAGAACAACAGCCCCUCAUAAAUCACUGCCGCCCAGAGAAAGUGUCACGUUCCAGUGCUUGGUGGGAAUUGGUCAGAGGAAACAGGAAAGGGAGCCGAUGACAACAUCUGGUUGUGAUUUCAGAGAUGCGGGCAUGCUUGGGACUUUUCCAGACCAAAGUAAUCAUAUUUUUGUCAGCACGACUAUCUCUUACCUGCUGCAGAGUGUGAAUGAAUAAUUGAAUCCCGACCUUGCAACAGAAGCUGUCACAAAGCUAUGAAUCCUGUUGGACCUCCACUGAAGUGAAGCGUGGAUACUAUAUCAUGCUUUUUGAU